rnacentral:misc_RNA from 1 species
GGAAGUGAAAGUCGUAACAAGGUUUCCGUAGGUGAACCUGCGGAAGGAUCAUUAAUGAGAACGUGCCCUUCGGGGUAGAUCUCCCACCCUGUGUUUACACUACCUUUGUUGCUUUAGCAGGCCCGCCCUCGGGCCGCCGGCUCCGGCUGGCCAGCGUCUGCCAGAGGAGUCAAAACUCUUUGUUAUUUUUGCCGUCUGAGUACUAUACAAUAGUUAAAACUUUCAACAACGGAUCUCUUGGUUCUG